UACGAAGGGGGCUAGCGUUGUUCGGAUUUACUGGGCGUAAAGCGCACGUAGGCGGAUCUUUAAGUCAGAGGUGAAAUCCCAAGGCUCAACCUUGGAACUGCCUUUGAUACUGCAAAUCUCGAGUCCGGAAGAGGUGAGUGGAAUUCCUAGUGUAGAGGUGAAAUUCGUAGAUAUUAGGAAGAACACCAGUGGCGAAGGCGGCUCACUGGUCCGGUACUGACGCUGAGGUGCGAAAGCGUGGGGAGCAAACAGG
rnacentral:rRNA from 1 species